AAGCAGAGCACCGCUCUGUUCUGUCUUGGUCGCAAGGACAAGCAGACGUGCACCGCCACGGACGGCGUUCCCGCACGGGCAGUCAGCAACAGCAUGUCCCGAGAUCCACGACGAGCUCCCGCAGCAGCGCCUCGAACACGGCGGCCUCGACCGCGGCGCCGACGUCGUGGCGCUCGGGCCGCACGUCGGCGGCGUCGAGCCUGGAGGCCGGGAGCUCGGACGCGACCAGCCCCGACACCCGCGCCAGCUCCUCCCUGUGCGCGUCCCAGUAGGCGGCGGCGGGCUCGUCGUCGCGGCAGUUCUUGGGGCUCGAGCGGUAGCCGCCGCCGCCGCAGUAGUAGCGGUCGUCUGCGUCGGCGUCAACGUCACCGUCCAUGAGGAGGUGCUCGGACUUGGCGAGCAGCUGGGCCAGCAGCGCGGGGCUGUACGCCGCGUCCAGGAGGUCCCGGAAGACGUCCUUAGACGUCGGGGACAGCAGGUUGCCGUGGACCGGGGAGCUGUCGAACGGGUGGUCCAGGACGGAGACGGGGCUCAGCUGCUGCUUCUCGUCGUCGUCGUCGUCGGCGGCGGUAGUCUUGACGGCGUCCAGCUCCAGGCGACGGUCGGAGCAGCACGGCGCAGGCGCGACGGCGGCGGGGUUGGUGGGCGCCAGCUUGAAGGAGCCGGAGAGCUGCAGCGCGGCGGGCUUCCGUGGCGGGGGCGCCGCUCGACCGCCGCCGCCGCCGCGGAGGAUCUUGGAGAGCAGGAGGCGGAGGAGCCCGCCGGCAGGCUUCUGCUGCUGCUUGUUGCCGGCGGCGGCGGCCGGCUUGUUGUUCCUCUUGCUGGUGAGGCGCCUGAGCGCCGCGGCGGCGGCGUCGGUGCCGGCGGCGGCGGGCCAGCACGGCGCGGCGUCGUAGCCGUUGAGUAGGAGGCGCGAGGAUGCGCAGCCCCUCUCGAGCAGGUGCAGGUCCAGGACGAACGGCUCCUGCUUCUCCUCCAGCAGCUCCGACAGGCGCCGGCCGGACGGCGACGGCGACAGGCACGCCAUUGCGGGUGUAGUAGAGGGACGGAGAGUUGUGUGUAGCGCCGAGAGGAAGAAGAGAGGCGGUGGAGUCUGAGGAGGUAUGAACUCUGAAGAAGAAUGAGCGAACCGAGGAGGAGGAGGGUGCUGUGGAUGCGUGGAUGGCGGGGAGCUUAUAAUGGAGAGGCGGCCGAGAGGGAGAAGGGGCAUGGGCAUGGGCCAAGGCCAACCAACCACCUAGUCGGAGUAGAGUGGACAGAUGAGACAAGGAGACGAGCAAUGAAUGGGGAGACAAGGAGGUUGCGAGCAGAUUCUUGUGCCCUCCUAAUCCUGUCGUGGUAUCAGACAAGCCCUGAUUUUCCUAAUCGUAUACUGUACAUGGUUAAAG
rnacentral:misc_RNA from 1 species